rnacentral:rRNA from 1 species
AAAGGAAUAGACGGGGGCCCGCACAAGCGGCGGAGCAUGUUGCUUAAUUCGAUGCAACGCGAAGAACCUUACCAAGGUUUGACAUGCCGGGAAAUCCCGCAGAGAUGCGGGGUGCCUUCGGGCGCCUGGCACAGGUGGUGCAUGGCUGUCGUCAGCUCGUGUCGUGAGAUGUUGGGUUAAGUCCCGCAACGAGCGUAACCCCCAUCCUGUGUUGCCAGCACGCCCCUUGUGGGUGGUGGGGACUCAUGGGAGACUGCCGGGGUCAACCCGGAGGAAGGCGGGGAUGACGUCAAGUCAUCAUGCCCCUUAUGCCUUGGGCUGCAAACAUGCUACAAUGGUCGGUACAACGGGUCGCGAUCCCGUGAGGGUGAGCCAAUCCUUAGAAAGCCGAUCUCAGUUCGGAUUGGGGUCUGCAACUCGACCCCAUGAAGUCGGAGUCGCUAGUAAUCGCGGAUCAGCAAUGCCGCGGUGAAUACGUUCCCGGGCCUUGUACACACCGCCCGU